rnacentral:rRNA from 1 species
CCCUUAGAUGUUCGGGGCCGCACGCGCGCUACACUGAAGGAAUCAGCACGUCUUUCUCCUUGUCCGAAAGGACUGGGUAACCCGCUGAACCUCCUUCGUGCUAGGGAUUGGGGCUUGUAAUUCUUCCCCAUGAACGAGGAAUUCCCAGUAAGCGCGAGUCAUAAGCGCGCGUUGAUUACGUCCCUGCCCUUUGUACACACCGCCCGUCGCUACUACCGAUUGGAUGGUUUAGUGAGAUCCUCGGAUUGGUCCCGGAGCGGCCUCUGGUCGUGCCGGAGUGCCGAAAAGAAUGUCGAACUUGAUCAUCUAGAGGAAGUAAAAGUCGUAACA